GACGAACGCUGGCGGCGUGCUUAACACAUGCAAGUCGAGCGGUAAGGCCUUUCGGGGUCCACGAGCGGCGAACGGGUGAGUAACACGUGGGUGAUCUGCCCUGCACUUCGGGAUAAGCCUGGGAAACUGGGUCUAAUACCGGAUAUGACCUCCUAUCGCAUGGUGGGUGGUGGAAAGAUUUAUCGGUGCAGGAUGGGCCCGCGGCCUAUCAGCUUGUUGGUGGGGUAAUGGCCUACCAAGGCGACGACGGGUAGCCGACCUGAGAGGGUGACCGGCCACACUGGGACUGAGACACGGCCCAGACUCCUACGGGAGGCAGCAGUGGGGAAUAUUGCACAGUGGGCGAAAGCCUGAUGCAGCGACGCCGCGUGAGGGAUGACGGCCUUCGGGUUGUAAACCUCUUUCAGCAGGGACGAAGCGCAAGUGACGGUACCUGCAGAAGAAGCACCGGCUAACUACGUG
rnacentral:rRNA from 1 species